rnacentral:rRNA from 1 species
AUGCCCUCAUUUUUGUCUCUACUCUGUAUUUUUCUCAUCCUUUUCUCCUUCAACACUACAACACUCGAAGCAGCGCAAGAAAACAAGUCCGAGAUUGAUCGCCAAGCCCUCCUUUGCUUCAAGUCCGGCACCAACUCUUAUCCCCUUGACAUCCUAAAUUCAUGGAGUGAUGACUCACUUAACUUUUGCUGCUGGAAUGGGGUCAUUUGCGGCACAAAGUUUCCACCCCGUGUGGUCUCACUUAACCUCACCUCCGCUCGUCUCAGUGGGCAAAUAUCUGGAUGUGUAGGCAACUUGACUUUUCUAUCUUCGAUGAACCUUGCUGAUAAUGAUCUAUCGGGAACCAUCCCUGGAGAGUUGGGUAAGCUUCCAAACCUCCAUACACUGCAUCUUUCCAACAACAACCUUGAAGGUAACAUCCCUGGUUCCUUAGGCACUAGCAAUUCUCUUAGCUAUGCCAAUCUUGGAAACAACACUCUUACAGGCGGUAUCCCUCUCUCAUUGACCAAUUGCUCCUCACUCAACACACUUAUACUGUCACGUAAUAACCUCUCUGGAGAGAUCCCUUCUACUUUGUUUGAUAACUUAUCUAAGCUUACUAAGGUUGAUCUCCAGAAGAAUUCUUUCACUGGUCUCAUCCCACGUUUCCAUAAGGUCACAGCACUCAAAUUUCUUUGCCUGACAGGGAACUUCCUCUCUGGAAGCAUACCUCCUUCGAUAGGAAAUGUUUCUUCCCUCACUUCUAUAUUGCUCGGCCAAAAUAAGCUAUCAGGAUUAAUUCCAGAAGCUAUAGGUCACACUACAAAACUGCUUGAGCUUGACCUAAGUUUCAACAGUUUAUCAGGUAAUGUCCCGGUUUCCCUUUAUAACAUGUCAUCACUCAAAAACUUUAGUGUUGGCAGCAAUGGCCUUGUUGGACAGUUACCAUCUUACAUUGGUCACUCACUACCGAACCUCCAGUCCCUAAUUAUGGGAAGCAACAGGCUGGAGGGCCUGAUCCCUACUUCACUAGCCAACAUGUCAAAUCUUCAAAUGCUUGAUCUUUCAAACAACUCCUUGCAUGGCUCUGUUCCAUCUCUCGGUUCUUUGGCAAACUUGCGUCGGUUAGUUUUGGGGAGUAACUUGCUAGAAGCACAUGACUGGUCAUUUCUUACAUCUCUAGCAAAUUGCUCCCAGCUGACAAAGUUUUCCUUGGAAGGGAAUGCUCUGAAUGGCAGCUUACCUGUAGCAGUUGUUAAUCUUUCCACAAGGCUACAAGAUUUGUCGCUUGGGUCAAACCAAAUUUCAGGCUCCAUACCUGUUGAAAUUAGCAAUCUUGUUAAUCUCACUUCACUUAGGAUGGAAAACAAUUUUCUUUCUGGAAGCAUACCUUCUACCAUUGGUAAGCUGCAAAACCUAUAUAUCCUAAAUCUAUCAAAGAACAAAUUAUCAGGUCAGAUCCCUCCUUCAGUUGGUGACAUUACUCAACUGGGCAAGCUUUAUCUUAGUGAUAACAAGUUGACUGGUAACAUACCUGGUAGUUUAGGUCAGUGCAAGGGACUUCUUGAACUAAAUUUGUCUCGAAACAACCUAGAUGGGUCAAUACCAGUCGAACUCUUUGCUAACCCUCCAUUCUCCCUCGGUCUGGACUUCUCACACAACAAUCUCACUGGGGAACUGCCACUGGAACUUGGUACAGUUGGUACUGGUGCUGGUCCAACAUCCCUUCACAUGGAAGGAAACAAGUUAUAUGGACAAAUUCCAGCAAGAUGGCAGUUAGUAUCAACCGUGCAGAUUAAUCUUUCUCACAAUGACUUAUCCGGUGCCGUGCCUGAAUUCUUUGAGCACCUUCAUAUGCUGGAGCAACUUGAUCUAUCUUAUAACAACUUGGAAGGAGCUGUUCCUACAAGUGGGAUCUUUGAGUAUUCUACCGCAGUACUUUUGGAUGAUAACAAGGGACUCUGUUCGAAUUCCUCCAGGAUGGCAUUACCAAUUUGUCCUGGCAUCUCAGCUUCAGCAAAUAAAACAAAGCAUCAUAUGUCCUCGCUGGCAACCUUGCUGCUAAUUGUAAUACCACCACUUACUAUUGCUUUCCUAGUCUUGCUAUGGUUUCUACCCACUCUUUGGAAGAGAGCGGUAUUCUCAUUUUUACAAUUGGCUGUUGUGUCCAAGAAGAUGUUUUGUUUUUUUGCCCAUCAGAAGAGAAGAGAAAUGCAUACAGUUCCAUUCAACGAUGAGAAGAAGCUGAAGAGGGUGUCAUAUCAGGACAUUCUUAAAGCUACCAACUGGUUUUCUUCGCUUCAUACUAUCAGCUCAACCUGUACUGGAUCAAUUUAUUUUGGUAGGUUCAAGUCCGACAGGAGAUUGGUUGCCAUCAAAGUAUUCAACUUGAGUGAACCUGGCGGGUGUGAUAGUUACUUUAUUGAGUGUGAAGUGCUACGAAACACCCGCCAUAGAAAUAUAAUGUGUCCUGUGACCGUAUGCUCGACACUUGAUUCACAAAAUCAUGAGUUCAAAGCGCUGAUAUUCAAGUUCAUGGUUAAUGGCAGCCUUGACAGAUGGUUACACUCUGAGCAACACAAUGGAAUCCCAGGCAGAGUGCUAAACUUUGGCAAGAGGAUAUGCAUAGCGGCAGAUGUGGCUUCUGCUCUUGAUUAUGUCCAUAACCAACUAACGCCUCCUUUGAUCCAUUGUGAUUUGAAGCCAGAGAACAUCCUUUUGGACGAUGAUAUGACCGCGCGGCUCAGUGAUUUUGGCUCAGCAAAGUUUUUGUCGCCGGAUAUGUUUAUUCCUGAAAGCCUGGAUGAUGCUGGAGGAACAGUUGGGUACAUGGCACCCGAGUAUGGGAUGGGUUACGAGAUCUCCGUAGGAGCUGAUGCAUAUAGUUUUGGAGUGCUUCUGCUGGAGUUGCUUACCGGAAAACGACCAACCGAUGAUAUGUUCGUCGAUGGGCUUACCCUUCCCAUUUUCUCCGAAUCCAUGUUCCCUGAGAGUGUCGCGGAGAUUCUAGAUCCUCGUAUGGGACACGAGGAGCAUCAAGGGUGUGCAGAAGUAUGGACGCAGAGAUAUAUUGUCCCGUUGGUUGCCCUUGGACUGUCGUGUACCGUGAAAGCUCCGAAGGACAGGCCUGGAAUGAAAGAUGUUUGUGCAAAACUUACUGCUAUCAGAGACGCUUUUCUGGAAUGCUGUGAUGACAUUGACGAAUAUUUUAGCUCUGUUAGAGCAUGCUGA